rfam:Camelus ferus unplaced genomic scaffold scaffold439, whole genome shotgun sequence.
GAAGGUACAGCUCAGUGGUAGAGCGUGUGCUUAGCGUGCACGAGGUCCUGGGUUCAAUCCCCAGGACCUCCA